rnacentral:misc_RNA from 1 species
AGCAGCCGCGGUAAUUCCAGCUCCAAUAGCGUAUAUUAAAGUUGUUGCAGUUAAAAAGCUCGUAGUUGAAUUUCGGGAUUGACACAUCGGUCGUGCCUUAAGGGGUAUGAACUGGUGUAGUCAAUUUCUCACCUUCUGGAGAACCGCGAUGCCCUUAAUUGGGUGCCGCGGGGAACCAGGACCUUUACUUUGAAAAAUUAGAGUGUUUAAAGCAGGCAUUUUGCUUGAAUACAUUAGCAUGGAAUAAUAAAAUAGGACGGCAUGAUUCUAUUUUGUUGGUUUCUAGGAUCACCGUAAUGAUUAAUAGGGAUAGUUGGGGGCAUUAGUAUUCAAUUGUCAGAGGUGAAAUUCUUGGAUUUAUUGAAGACUAACUACUGCGAAAGCAUUUGCCAAGGAUGUUUUCAUUAAUCAAGAACGAAAGUUAGGGGAUCGAAGACGAUCAGAUACCGUCGUAGUCUUAACCAUAAACUAUGCCGACUAGGAAUCAGACGAUGUUAAAUUUUUAAUGUACUCGUUUUGG